rnacentral:rRNA from 1 species
AUGCAUUUAGACCAAUCUUUGCAAAACUGUACCCCAAAAGCGGUGGCCAAAGUUCUUACAAACAGGGUCAAACCACUCAUCCCUCUACUCAUUCACUACGACCAAACAGGAUUUCUUCAUGGCCGCAACAUUGCAGAAAAUUUUAUUUACGCUGCUGAUAUUCUCAGCGCUUGCCACACAAGGAAGGCCCCCACCAUGGUCAUCAAGCUGGACUUCAGAAAAGCUUUUGACUCCAUUUCUUGGUCCUCUCUAACAUCGAUCCUACAAGCGAGAGGUUUCCCUCCUAUCUUCUGUGCAUGGGUCCAAAACAUUCUCCACACUGGCAAAACGGCUAUUCUCCUCAACGGCACUCCGGGAUCCUGGAUCCAAUGUAGAGCUGGCCUUUGA